rnacentral:ncRNA from 1 species
GCGAGAGUGGGUUAAGUCGUGGGUGGUUAACCCAUUAUUUGGGAAAUUGAGACGGGGUUUGAGAAAGUAGUAAGACAGAUUAGAUUUUCCCUUACUGAUGAAGGUUCGCCGCCAACGGUAAUUCAAUUAUUACGAGAGGAUCCCGUUGAUCCGGUAAAUUGGUUUUUCGACUGUCUAACCAGGCAAUGCACGCGACGGUACCAUUAGCCGGAUUAUGGCUGAACGCCUCUAAGUCCAGAAUCCGUGCCGGAACGCGGCGAUGUCGCCCCAGCACGUCGUAGUUGGAUACGAAUAGGCCUCCGGGUCCAGAACCUCAGCAGGCCGGCGAUGGUGUUCCGGGGAGAGACCCCCGGGGACCCGCCGGCGGAUUGCAAUGUCACCACGCGCGGGGAUAGAUCCUCUGCAGACGACUGAAAUGACCAAGCGGGUCGUGUAAGCGGUCAAGUAGCCUUGUUGUUACGAGUCGCUGAGCGUCAGCCCGAUCCUUGGCUCGAUUUGU